AGAGUUUGAUCAUGGCUCAGGAUGAACGCUAGCUACAGGCUUAACACAUGCAAGUCGAGGGGAAACGACAUCGAAAGCUUGCUUUUGAUGGGCGUCGACCGGCGCACGGGUGAGUAACGCGUAUCCAACCUGCCCAUCACUUGGGGAUAACCUUGCGAAAGUAAGACUAAUACCCAAUGACGUCUCUAGAAGACAUCUGAAAGAGAUUAAAGAUUUAUCGGUGAUGGAUGGGGAUGCGUCUGAUUAGCUUGUUGGCGGGGUAACGGCCACCAAGGCGACGAUCAGUAGGGGUUCUGAGAGGAAGGUCCCCCANAUUGGAACUGAGCACGGUCAAACUCCUACGGAGCA
rnacentral:rRNA from 1 species